rnacentral:rRNA from 1 species
AUUGAACGCUGGCGGCAGGCCUAACACAUGCAAGUCGAACGCGUGGCGGACGGGUGAGUAAUGUCUGGGAAACUGCCCGAUGGAGGGGGAUAACUACUGGAAACGGUAGCUAAUACCGCAUAUCAUCGGAUGUGCCCAAAUGGGAUUAGCUAGUAGGGGGGGUAACGGCUCACCUAGGCGACGAUCCCUAGCUGUUCUGCGAGGAUUACCAGCAACACUGGAACUGAGACACGGUCCAGACUCCUACGGGAGGCAGCAGGGGGGAAUAUUGCAAAAUGGGCGCAAGCCUGAUGCAGCCAUGCCGCGUGUAUGAAGAAGGCCUUCGGGUUGUAAAGUACUUUCAGCGAGGAGGCGUUACUCGCAGAAGAAGCACCGGCGAACUCCGUGCCAGCCGCCGCGGUAAUAC